UUUUGGUUCUCUCGUUAUUUGGAGAUUACAACCCGUUUUGUGCCAAACAGAAAGAGAACGUGACCGUGUCUCGAUCGCCCUCAUCUUUCCCUUCCACUCCCUUCAUCACAUCGGAACCCUUUAAACCCUAACAUCGUUCUCCAGACCCGACCAAUUCCGCUUCCUUUGGAAUAUUAAUCCAAAGAUUAUGGAUGAGACAAGGGUAAAUGAUAUUCGCACCAAAUUAUAUGAAGGACUUCUCCAGUAGGACAAGUAUUGUUUCCAAAGGCAAGCUUUGAAUUGUACCCAACUGUUUCGUGGAUAGCGUGUUGGAAAACUCAGAUCUUUCAAAUCCGGUGCUGGUGUGCUCAAGCGCUUAACCAGCUCUUUGCUGUCCCUAUAUUGAAAAAUGAUCAUAGAAGAUUAUGAUCCAUUAGGUUCUCACCUGCUCUACUCCCAACACCUUGAAAGCGUGCAGAAAAAUCUAGUAUUUCCCUUACUGUCAUCUCGGGAAUAUGUAGGUCAUAUUGGCUUAUGUAAGCUGAUGUCUUCUCAGGCACGAACUCUUCCAAUCCAAGGCCGUUAUUUUUCUUCAGCAACAUUUCCAUCAUCUCGAUGAUCAAAAACAGAUGUUCUCACUCGUUCAAGGGUGGGUAAUCUCUCAAUUGCAGCCCAAGUCAACUCAUGCUCAUCGUCAUCAUCAGCCCUCGUAGAACCAACACUGGAGUUUCUUCGAAAACUUGAUGCAGCAAUUCUGAAUGAUGACCUGAUGCUUCUUUCUAUCUCUGCUAACUCAACACUCAGGGUCUCACUUUCGUUCCUGCCCAGCUGAUCCAUCUCUUCUUCUCGAGUCAUUGGGAGCAAGACAGUGGCUACUGUCAUUUGAAGUGUAUGGUAUUUGUCAUUCAACUAAUCUGAAUGUGAUGGUUGAAUUUUCAGUUGAAGGAGGUGCAUCGUGGAGCUUCCACACAUUCUCUUCCUUUGUAUCCGCCUAAUCUUAUAACUUUUAUGACGUCGGUAACCAAUCUUUUUUAUUUGUCCCCAAUUAUUUACACUGGUUGCACUGGAAGACUUAGAUUUCUUCACUAUUUUAAUGUGCUUGUGUAAUUAAUAAGAUACCUGGCUGUGCUGGCAAACUUGCAGAUCCACCAAUGGCAUGUGGAAUUGUGUUCAUUGAUGGGGAUUCCAAAGUUUUUUCAACAAGUGACGAGAUUUUGUUUCUGGGAAACUGUACUUGGUUGUGAUUUAUAUUUGUCUUGAGAAAGGUAUGCAUCCCACCAUAAAAUAUUUUCCCUUUGGCGAAUCAUUACAUGUUGUUGGUGGUGGUGGUGGUGGUGAAUAACUAUGUCCAAUUGAUGAGAGUACAAUUCUUCUCACCACUGCUGCUUGAAUUCUUCGA